rnacentral:rRNA from 1 species
GCUUGUCUCAAAGAUUAAGCCAUGCAUGUCUAAGUACAAGCCUCAGUAAGGUGAAACCGCGAAUGGCUCAUUAAAUCACACCUAAUCUACUGGAAAGUUACUAGUUACUUGGAUAACUGAGGUAAUUCUUGAGCUAAUACAUGCGAAAAAUCUCGACUCACGGAGAGAUGCUUUUAUUAGAUCAAAACCAACCGAUGCUUGCAUCGUCUUGUGGUGAUUCAUAAUAACCGAACGAAUCGCAUGGCUUUGCUGGCGAUAUAUCUUCUAAGUUUCUGACCUAUCAGCUUUCGACGGUAAGGUAUUGGCUUACCGUGGCAAUGACGGGUAACGGAGAAUUAGGGUUCGAUUCCGGAGAGGGAGCCUGAGAAACGGCUACCACAUCUAAGGAAGGCAGCAGG